UAUAGUUACGCCCCUGAUUCGAUUGUUUUAUAAACAAGAGAGGAACAAACAUAAAUAAUAGACAAACAUGCAGAAUAUAUCUGAUGCUCCCAAUUAAAUGUGCAGUCUCCCUUUCACUGUCAAUACGAGAUCCAAAGAGCAUAACCAUUUAACUGAAAUGUAAGUGCUGUUUAUGAACGUUAUUUGCCCUUUUUGUCCUUUGUCUUUAUCAAAUUGAUUAUACAUCCAUCAUUUGGGAAAUUCAACAUAACAGCAAUAUCUUGUCAACUCUCUCUCCUCCUAUAUACUAGUAACCUGCCUGUCAUUGCCUGAUGUUGUCUUCAUGUUCUGUGGGUCUACUAUUUGUGUUUAAGUCUGUGUGUCUAAGGUUUUUUUUUUGUGCAUUAGUAUGUAAGCUUAUAAUUGCACGCGUGAUUUUGUGUGUCAGCUUUGGUUAUGCCAGUGUCUAGUUGUCUGUACUUAUGUGACUCAAAUUAUGUGUGUCUUUCUGCAUUUUGUCUUGUUUUAUGUGUGCAAGCUACGAGUGUGUGCUUGUUUAUAUGCAGGUUUGAAUGUAUAUUUUGGUUUGAGAUUGCUUGUGGGCAUCUGUGUUACUGUAUUUCUAUUUUUCACAUGCAAUUAUACGAGGUUCACAUUUAAUUAUACAGAGGUUUUAUCUACUGUGAUGUGAUAAAAGGAAAAUGCAGGUCAGUUCCGGGGUUAAGGACCCUGGAUGAAGGAUAUCGCAGUUAAAAACCUGCAUAGUUAUUCUUCUUGAGGGUAUCCAGGGCUGGAAUGGAUGAAAGGAUCUGGGCGGGCCUUCCAUUCCACUCCAGAUUGACCUGGGUGUGGUGUUUCAUUUUAGGGUGUGUGAGAGCUGAGAAGCCUGCUGUGAAUUCAAGCUGGGAGUGACACAAAGAUAUACAUACAGAUUUGCCUACUGAAACUACAAGCCUGGGGCCAUUGCUUUGCACACCAGACACUGAAGAAACUGAGAUGAAUCGAUUACAGUGAUAUACAGCUGUGAGGAUUUUACGGAGGGCUUGCACUGGUUGUCUGUGUUUAAGGAAGCCUACUUGAUGUUCGGGGCAUCGAGGAUUUCUCUAUCCUGGACAGACAACUUUUGAAGCCCGGCUUCCUGUAGGAAUUUAAGGCCAUCUUUCGGAUUGUCCGUGGGAGCAUUGUAUAACUAUUUGAAGUGAGUUGUCAGAAUAUCUUUUAAUUGGUCUGGGUCUUUGGUUUGUAGUUUUUGUAUAUGGGGGUUGGUGAUUUUGGCCAGAAGUUUUCCAGAUUUGUUCCCCCAUCUAUAAAAUAUGUUUGCUGUAUGAUUUAAAGAGUUGUAUGCUUUAUCUGUUAAUAAAGUAUCUAAAAGCUGCUUUGUCUCAUUGUAUUUAU